rnacentral:tRNA from 1 species
UGCAUCGGCUAGGAAUCGAACCCGGGCCGCCCGCGUGGCAGGCGAGCAUUCUACCACUGAACCAUCGAUGC